CAAACCACCCACUUCCGGUUUCCUGCCGGUUCCGGCCCCCUGCCGGUUCCGGCCCCGCCCAUCACUUCCGGCCUCUGAGGUUCCGCUGCGGUCGGUUUCUGCGUCCGCUGCAGCUGGUUCCGCCACGCUCCAGGUAUUUCUUCCUGAAGGAAAACUGCCUCUUCAUAUGCUUCAAAAAUGGCUCUCCCAAUCAUUGUAAAAUGGGGUGGACAGGAAUAUUCAGUGACCACACUUUCAGAGGAAGAUACUGUGCUCGAUCUCAAACAGUUUCUCAAGACUCUCACUGGAGUGCUGCCAGAACGCCAGAAAUUACUUGGGCUCAAAGUGAAAGGCAAACCUGCAGAAAAUGAUGUUAAGCUUGGAGCUCUCAAACUGAAACCAAAUACUAAAAUCAUGAUGAUGGGAACUCGUGAGGAGAGCUUGGAAGAUGUCUUAGGUCCACCCCCUGAUAACGAUGAUGUUGUUAAUGACUUUGAUAUUGAAGAUGAAGUAGUUGAAGUAGAGAACAGGGAAGAAAAUCUGUUGAAAAUUUCUCGCAGAGUCAAAGAGUAUAAAGUGGAAAUACUGAAUCCUCCCAGGGAAGGCAAAAAGCUGUUGGUACUAGACGUUGAUUAUACAUUGUUUGACCAUAGAUCUUGUGCAGAGACUGGGGUAGAAUUAAUGCGGCCAUAUCUUCAUGAAUUUCUAACAUCUGCAUAUGAAGAUUAUGACAUUGUUAUUUGGUCUGCAACAAAUAUGAAGUGGAUUGAAGCUAAAAUGAAAGAAUUGGGAGUGAGCACAAAUGCAAAUUAUAAGAUUACCUUCAUGUUGGACAGUGCUGCUAUGAUAACAGUGCAUACCCCAAGGAGAGGACUGAUAGAUGUAAAGCCUCUUGGUGUUAUUUGGGGAAAGUUUUCCGAGUUUUACAGCAAGAAAAAUACCAUUAUGUUUGAUGACAUAGGAAGAAAUUUUCUAAUGAACCCACAGAAUGGACUAAAGGUUGCAGGUUCUACACUGGAGCUGAGAAGUCACGCUCAAAACGAAGACCAGGGCUGUCCUGAAAAGCACCAUAGCCGUCCUCAGCAACACAGAGGUCCUGAUCUGCUCCAACAACAAGAACAGUAGAGUACAUGCCAAAAGCCAGCAUGACAAGUUUCUCCUGGAGAUUAAAGGCACACAUCUUCCUCUCUGGAGCAAGGAAGUGAUGCUCGAUAUAAGGCCUUUUAUGAAAGCACAUCUAAAUCGAGAUAAAGACAAAGAACUUUUAAAAUUAACUCAGUACCUCAAAGAGAUAGCAAAAUUAGAUGACUUUUUGGAGCUAAAUCACAAAUACUGGGAAAGGUAUCUCUCAAAGAAGCAAGGACAGUAGUUACAAGUUAUCCGAGCAGUUGUUGAAGAUACUUGAGAUCCAUGAUCUUUUGCUUUUAUGCUAGAAAUCAUGAUAGUGCUGGACACUGAAGCAAAUACCAGACUGCUUAUUCUUGGUCUUCCGGUUUUUGUAAAUUUAAUUUUAUAUUUUUUGAACAUCAUAGCAAUAUGCUUUAAAAAAAAAAAAUCCUUUUCCCCCUAAAUGAAUAUACUGUUAUUCUUGAAAAAUAUUUUCUCUGGCAUUAAUUACUGAGGCGUUUUCCACAAAACAAAAAACAAAAAACAAAAAACAAAAAAAAAAAAAACCCAACUAAAAAAGGAAGAAAAAGUGGGAAAAAGUGCACACUCACCAGGGUCAUUUUGUGACUACAAAUAAGUUAUGUCUUGUGUUUUUGUCUCACAUUAUCAAUUGCUUAAGUCUAAAGCCAAACCCAUUUUGAAACUAGGGCUGAAAACAAACAAGUUUUUGAGUAGAGAAGUUGGUUUGUUAUGAUUAAAAUUACCAAUAAUUUUUUAUUCCUUUGGCAUAGACCAAAGUACUCUGCUAGAUUCAUCUCUAAAUUCUGAGAUAUCUGUCUGAUCCGUGUGUGUCAGUGUUCUUCCAGUAAAACCAGAGAAUAUAAUUGUGAUACAGCUGCUGUGUCAUAGUAUGAGAAAUAGCAAACAAAAGGCUGGAGAAUAAUAUUAAGGAACAAGAACGGCUUCUCUGUGGUGGCUAAAAAGAAAUCCUCCUCCUUAAAAUGGUUAUCAUAAAAACAGUUAAAGGCAAUAAAUUUUAAAAAUGGGACAUGUCACCAGUUCAACCCUAAAAAGCCUGAACAAAAUGGUUUUUGUUUUGUUCCAGCUGUAUCCUAAGUGCUAACGCUGUGUGUCAGUGAAAAUGUCUAGCCAUAAGAUUAAAAAUAGUAUAUAUUAUUUGCAAUGCUUAAGCCUGCAGAUAUGUAAUGUGACCACUGUUUUGUGUUGACAGUAUUGGUUUAUACAGUUCUUAUAUUUGAAAGGAAUUGAUCCUUUAAAAUAAACAUGGUAUAUAUUGUUCUUAUGGGACUACUUCAGUGGUGUAAAUAAUAAAUAUCUUUUCUUAAAA